UGAAUUGAACAGAUGAUGGUGUAGAAGA
rnacentral:piRNA from 1 species